rnacentral:rRNA from 1 species
GAUGAACGCUAGCUACAGGCUUAACACAUGCAAGUCGAGGGACCGGCGCACGGGUGAGUAACACGUAUCCAACCUGCCCUUUACUCGGGGAUAGCCUUUCGAAAGAAAGAUUAAUACCCGAUGUAAAGGAUGGGGAUGCGUUCAAUUAGGUUGUUGGUGGGGUAUCGGCUUACCAAGCCUUCGAUGGAUAGGGGUUCUGAGGGGAAGGUCCCCCACAUAGGAACUGAGACACGGACCAAACUCAUAAUGGAGGCAGCAGUGAGGAAUAUUGGUCAAUGGGCGUGAGCCUGAACCAGCCAAGUAGCGAGAAGGAUGAAGGCUUAUGGGUCGUAAACUUCUUUUAUAUAAGAAUAUGUAUUAUAUGAAUAAGGAUCGACUAACUCCGUGCCAGCAGCCGCGGUAAUUC